rnacentral:rRNA from 1 species
AACGUACGCUGGCGGCACGCCUAACACAUGCAAGUCGAACGAAGUAGCAAUACUUAGUGGCAGACGGGUGAGUAACAUGUAGGUAUCUGCCCUUUGGCCUGGAAUAACACGAGGAAACUUGUGCUAAUACCGGAUAAGUCUUUACGGAGAAAGCUUUAUGCACCAUUGGAUGAGCCUGCACUUGAUUAGUUUGUUGGUGGGGUAAUGGCCUACCAAGACUGUGAUCAAUAGCUGAUUUGAGAGGAUGAUCAGCCACAUUGGGACUGAGACACGGCCCAAACUCCUACGGGAGGCAGCAGUGGGGAAUCUUGCACAAUGGAGGAAACUCUGAUGCAGCGAUGCCGCGUGAGUGAAGAAGGCCCUUGGGUUGUAAAGCUCUUUCGUCGGGGAAGAAAAUGACUGUACCCGAAUAAGAAGGUCCGGCUAACUUCGUGCCAGCAGCCGCGGUAAUACGAAGGGACCUAGCGUAGUUCGGAAUUACUGGGCUUAAAGAGUUCGUAGGUGGUUGAAAAAGUUAGUGGUGAAAUCCCAGAGCUUAACUCUGGAACUGCCAUUAAAACUUUUCAGCUAGAGUAUGAUAGAGGAAAGCAGAAUUUCUAGUGUAGAGGUGAAAUUCGUAGAUAUUAGAAAGAAUACCAAUUGCGAAGGCAGCUUUCUGGAUCAUUACUGACACUGAGGAACGAAAGCAUGGGUAGCGAAGAGGAUUAGAUACCCUCGUAGUCCAUGCCGUAAACGAUGUGUGUUAGACGUUGGAAAUUUAUUUUCAGUGUCGCAGGGAAACCGAUAAACACACCGCCUGGGGAGUACGACCGCAAGGUUAAAACUCAAAUGAAUUGACGGGGACCCGCACAAGUAGUGGAGCAUGUGGUUUAAUUCGAAGAUACGCGCAGAACCUUACCAACACUUGACAUGUUCGUCGCGACUCUAAGAGAUUAGAGUUUUCGGUUCGGCCGGACGAAACACAGGUGCUGCAUGGCUGUCGUCAGCUCGUGUCGUGAGAUGUUGGGUUAAGUCCCGCAACGAGCGCAACCCUCACUUUUAGUUGCCAUCAUUAAGUUGGGCACUCUGAAAGAACUGCCAGUGAUAAGCUGGAGGAAGGUGGGGAUGACGUCAAGUCCUCAUGGCCCUUACGUGUUGGGCUACACACGUGCUACAAUGGUAUCUACAACAGGAAGCAAGACUGCGAGGUCAAGCAAAUCCUUAAAAGAUACCUCAGUUCGGAUUGCACUCUGCAACUCGAGUGCAUGAAGCUGGAAUUACUAGUAAUCGUGGAUCAGCGUGCCACGGUGAAUGCGUUCCCGGGUCU